CACUGCAAUAGCUCAGCAUGGAUUCGUCGUGGUCGCUAGUGACUACAUUUUUCCUGCGCUUGAUAACCCGUCCGGUUACCACAUGAACAAAGAGAAACUUGGCUCCAUCGCUGACAAGUACAUGGAGCAGUUUUACUGGCUGAAGUCCAACCUGCAGAGGUUAAUCCAAGCCGUAACACCGGGCGUGAAUAGCAGUUGGGACCAC